rnacentral:rRNA from 1 species
GACGAACGCUGGCGGCGUGCUUAACACAUGCAAGUCGAACGUUAUUUUUGUGGAAAUUCUUUCGGGAAUGGAAAUGAAAUGAAAGUGGCGAACGGGUGAGUAACACGUGAGCAACCUACCUUACACAGGGGGAUAGCCGUUGGAAACGACGAUUAAUACCGCAUGAGACCACAGAAUCGCAUGAUAUAGGGGUCAAAGAUUUAUCGGUGUAAGAAGGGCUCGCGUCUGAUUAGCUAGUUGGAAGGGUAAAGGCCUACCAAGGCGACGAUCAGUAGCCGGUCUGAGAGGAUGAACGGCCACAUUGGAACUGAGACACGGUCCAAACUCCUACGGGAGGCAGCAGUGGGGAAUAUUGCACAAUGGGGGGAACCCUGAUGCAGCGACGCCGCGUGAGCGAAGAAGGUUUUCGAAUCGUAAAGCUCUGUCCUAUGAGAAGAUAAUGACGGUAUCAUAGGAGGAAGCCCCGGCUAAAUACGUG